GGUACCAUAUGAAUAAGCACCGGCUAACUCCGUGCCAGCAGCCGCGGUAAUACGGAGGGUGCAAGCGUUAUCCGGAUUCACUCGGGUUUAAAGGGUGCGUAGGCGGGCAGGUAAGUCAGUGGUGAAAUCCUGGAGCUCAACUCCAGAACUGCCAUUGAUACUAUCUGUCUUGAAUAUUGUGGAGGUAAGCGGAAUAUGUCAUGUAGCGGUGAAAUGCUUAGAUAUGACAUAGAACACCUAUUGCGAAGGCAGCUUACUACGCAUAUAUUGACGC
rnacentral:rRNA from 1 species